GCUCUUGUAGCUUGGUUAGAGCACCUGUUUAGUAAGCGGGAGGUCUUGAGUUCAACUCUCUACAAGAGCA
rnacentral:tRNA from 1 species